rnacentral:rRNA from 1 species
CAGUAGCCGCGGGAAAACGGAGGGUGCAAGCGUUAAUCGGAAUUACUGGGCGUAAAGCGCACGCAGGCGGUCUGACAAGUCAGAUGUGAAAUCCCCGGGCUUAACCUGGGAACUGCAUUUGAAACUGUCAGGCUGGAGUCUUGUAGAGGGGGGUGGAAUUCCAGGUGUAGCGGUGAAAUGCGUAGAGAUCUGGAGGAAUACCGGUGGCGAAGGCGGCCCCCUGGACAAAGACUGACGCUCAGGUGCGAAAGCGUGGGGAGCAAACAGGAUUAGAGACCCCUGUAGUCCCUGUCUCUUAUAC